GGAAGAAGAAGAAGAAGAAAAAAUGAUUUGACCGUAAUGAACAGGUUAGGGAUUUAAUUGAAAAUCAACUCAUUCGGUCUGCUGGUAACUUGAUGUCCUUUAUGUGUUUGUUGAAAUGAUUAACUAGAAUCUGCUUGGUUUUUAUAAAUAGAUAUACAAGAUGGAUUAUUGUGCAGUACCAGGAGAAACAAAAUUCAGCCUUGGUUCCUUGAUGCGCUUAAUUAUGCUAUUGCAAUCAAGAUGGAUCUGCUGAAUUUGAGUAUAAGAGGCCUUUGAUUACUUGGACCUUCCUUUUGUUGAGAAGGCAAAACAUUUGUUUGAUUGGCAUCGGGAUUACCUUGCAUACCAAAAUUUAUGAUUAUGUUCAAUAUAUAUGCAUGUUACUAUUCGUGUAGUUUGUAAAGAAUUGGAAGCAGAAAGAGGUCAUUUUGGCCAAGAAAAAUUCCAGUUGUAAAACCUAACAUCUCGGCGUUUCUUCAAUUUGCUUCGUAUAUUGGCCAAGGGAGGAACAAAUUAGGACCACUCAUGAUGAUGAUCCUAUGUUUGGAGUACCAAAAGCUCAAGCAUGCAAUGUCUGUUCACCCAGAUAUAAGCUUUGAGAGCAGCCGAUGAUGCUUCAUGAGCUGGGAAAUGACAAAGCUCGUUUAAGAGCACCAAUCAAUGGACCUGUUGAAGAAGAUGAUGGGAAUCCGUUGGGCUCACCGCUGCACAGUCUGUAAUAGUCACACAUGGAGAGUGUGUAUGCAUGCUUAGGUGACGUAGAUACGAUGGACGCAAGCACAGACGAUCAAGAGCUGGUGAGGGUGAGUAAUCAUUUAGUAAGGUAAGAAUUAUGACGCAAAUAAACCGUCAAAGUUGUUGCUACCGGUGGUUCAACUUGGUUCUCAGUAUCCACAUCCAGUUAAUCGGUCAAGCUGUUGCUACCGGUGGUUGUCUACAGAUUUGCAGACGAAGAUGAACAUGGAAUCGGGGUUUGCUGUUGUUUGAAAUGCAUGUACUAUAAUAGUUUUGUUGGAUGUAUAUGUAUUUUUCAAUUCCUGUUUAUGUAAUUUUCGA